rnacentral:rRNA from 1 species
UAAUACGUAGGGGGCGAGCGUUGUCCGAAGUUACUGGGCGUAAAGCGCGCGUAGGCGGUUAAUUAAGUCUGUGGUGAAAGGUUCAGCGCUCAACGCGAACAUUGCCCUGGAUACUGGUUGACUUGAGUCUGGGAGGGGGUAGUGGAAUUCCUGGUGUAGCGGUGAAAUGCGUAGAUAUCAGGAGGAACACCGGUGGCGAAGGCGACUACCUGGCCUAAGACUGACGCUGAGGUGCGAAAGCGUGGGGAGCGAACGGGAUUAGAUACCCCGGUAGUCCACGCCGUAAACGAUGAGUGCUAGGUGUUCGGGGUAUCGACCCCCCGGGUGCCGUCGCUAACGCAUUAAGCACUCCGCCUGGGGAGUACGGCCGCAAGGUUG